CUGGGGACCAGGCAGAGAGAGCCAUCGCCAGCCCCGGCCGGAGGAGAUGGGCUGUGGCAACUCCACCCCGGCCACCAGCACCAGCACCACCGCAGAUGCUGCAGGAACAGCAAAAGAUGUAAGAAUCAGUGUCAGAAGAUGACAAACGGAGAUUAGAAGACUGAACACUCUGGAUGAUAUGAUCGAUUGGAGUUAUCUGCACAGAUCACUCAUCACAAUGGAAUGGAGUGGUACCUUUCUGCUGACAUUUUAUUUAGCCAGAAAGACCAGACCACCUCAAAGUUUUGUGGCUGUGAAAGUUACAACUACGGGUCAAGCUGAAUGCUCAAAAUGGAACUAAAGUGAACGACUGAGAUUUUUGAGAACUUUCUGAUGUCAUAUAGUGCUGUGUUAUUUAACAGGUGGCUGAUGGGCCUUUCUGCACAAGCACUGAGAUGGUUGACCACCAGUGCUUUAGCCAUACUACAGGUUAUUAUGAGUGAAACCAGGUCUGUUUUCUCUUCAACUACUUUUGAGAGCUUUUAUAUAAGGAGACCAUACUACUGUUCACUCAAGUGUUCCUAAGCUGAGGAGAAGGCACCUGGGAGAUCACUCCCAUACGUCAUGCAAAGGAAGAUUAUGAAAUGGUGAAGUGAAGUUCAUUUUAUGGCCAAACUAGCUACUAAGCAAGUGAAUGUUGAGCAGAACUGCAGGGCAAUAGAAACUGGAAUAGGAACCAGCGGAUUCAAAUUAGAAGAAAAGAGAUUCCACUUAACCACUAGGAAGAACUCUUUGACAGUGGAAUAGACUGCCCCAGAGGAUGGUGAAUUCUCCCUCUUUUGGAAAUCCUUAAAUAGAGUUUGGAUGGACAUCUUUCAGAAGUGUUGCAGCUGUAUAUUUCUGCCUUGCCUGGGCUUGGACUACAUGGCCUUGUGACCUCUUUCAACUCUUAACAUCUGGGGAAGAAAGAAAGUCUGAGGGGUGGUGGCAACAGAUGAUGUUAUCACCCGGCUAACCAAAAAGUCUAGGACAUACAACACUUGGAGUUAUGCUCCAUCAAAAUGCAGGGGAUGAUUUUUCUUGUGCCUAUCCAGUCCUUGAUGGCAAUCAAUUUCCAAGUCCAUUGACUUCAUUCAGUGUUUGCCUUGAAAGAGCAAUUAAAAGCAGACAUUGCAUAAGGGUUGCUGCACGCAUACCUAUCUCUGUUGUUUACACAGUGAUGGAGGAAGAAGCAAGGGCACUGAUAAAUGAAUAGGCAAGUUAGACCAUGAGGCUAUUCAUCUUUGCCCCCAGUAUGCCACAGGAAAUCAUAGGUUAGGUUUCAAGCAACUGGGUAGAGUGGAUGCAUGCCCACACACCAUGCCUAGGUAGGGCUGACCCAAGACUGUUUGCUGGUUGUGGCAAAGGACAAGAUAGUGUCACUCCCUCAUUCUAUAUACAGAAGCUGGGAAAGAAUCUGUCACCACACCUGAUGGCAGCAAAUCAGUUUUAGGGAUCAGAACAGUUUUCGCUCAGGAAAAACUGCCAAGUGAUUGAUGAUGUUGCUACUCACCAUCUACCACCUCAGACAACAGCUUCAUAUUACCUAAUGGAAGGGCCAGUCCUUCUUCCCAGCACCCUCCCUGCCCAAGAAUGAUGCAUACGCAAUGCACUCCUGCACAAAAUUAGUGAUUAAAUUUUAUAAAUAAAACACCACACAAAUUAAUUGGCAAAAAGAGCAGUACUCUCUUGUAACAGGAGAUCUAUCUAUCUAUCUAUCUAUCUAUCUAUCUAUCUAUCUAUCUAUC